UAUCCAACUUUGCCUCCUUUGAAAACUAUAGUCUUGGCAUGAGAGCUGGUUCCUAGUGAGUCUUGUGAUGACCAAUUGCACCCAGCCCAAGGGCAAAGUCAUCUUUAAAUUAAUGCGUAGGAGGAAAUACUGAAAUAUAGCUGCAAUUGUCUACCCCUGCCUCAUCUCUCCCUCCAAAAAAUGAGAAAAAACUCUUCUUCGGUUACAUGCAAAGCAUUUACAUCUGAGGACAUCAGCACUUUCUUCAACAAGAAAUGGAAUGACGAAGCUAAGGAUGAGAGCAGAAAUGACAGAUCGAUAGAGGUACACGUUCAAACUCAUACAAAAACUGUCAGGUCCCCCUCUCAAUUAAGAAUGAGGAAACUCUGAAAAACUACAAAGAG